UACGGAGGGAGCUAGCGUUGUUCGGAAUUACUGGGCGUAAAGCGCACGUAGGCGGCUACACAAGUCAGAGGUGAAAGCCCGGGGCUCAACCCCGGAACUGCCUUUGAAACUAGGUGGCUAGAAUCUUGGAGAGGUCAGUGGAAUUCCGAGUGUAGAGGUGAAAUUCGUAGAUAUUCGGAAGAACACCAGUGGCGAAGGCGACUGACUGGACAAGUAUUGACGCUGAGGUGCGAAAGCGUGGGGAGCAAACAGGAUUAGAUACCCGCGUAGU
rnacentral:rRNA from 1 species